GCCCGCUCGCCGGAAGACCAAGGGUUCCUGUCCAACGUUAAUCGGGGCAGGGUGAGUCGACCCCUAAGGCGAGGCCGAAAGGCGUAGUCGAUGGGAAACAGGUUAAUAUUCCUGUACUUGGUGUUACUGCGAAGGGGGGGACGGAGAAGGCUAUGUUGGCCGGGCGACGGUUGUCCCGGUUUAAGCGUGUAGGCUGGUUUUCCAGGCAAAUCCGGAAAAUCAAGGCUGAGGCGUGAUGACGAGGCACUACGGUGCUGAAGCAACAAAUGCCCUGCUUCCAGGAAAAGCCUCUAAGCAUCAGGUAACAUCAAAUCGUACCCCAAACCGACACAGGUGGUCAGGUAGAGAAUACCAAGGCGCUUGAGAGAACUCGGGUGAAGGAACUAGGCAAAAUGGUGCCGUAACUUCGGGAGAAGGCACGCUGAUAUGUAGGUGAAGCGACUUGCUCGUGGAGCUGAAAUCAGUCGAAGAUACCAGCUGGCUGCAACUGUUUAUUAAAAACACAGCACUGUGCAAACACGAAAGUGGACGUAUACGGUGUGACGCCUGCCCGGUGCCGGAAGGUUAAUUGAUGGGGUUAGCGCAAGCGAAGCUCUUGAUCGAAGCCCCGGUAAACGGCGGCCGUAACUAUAACGGUCCUAAGGUAGCGAAAUUCCUUGUCGGGUAAGUUCCGACCUGCACGAAUGGCGUAAUGAUGGCCAGGCUGUCUCCACCCGAGACUCAGUGAAAUUGAACUCGCUGUGAAGAUGCAGUGUACCCGCGGCAAGACGGAAAGACCCCGUGAACCUUUACUAUAGCUUGACACUGAACAUUGAGCCUUGAUGUGUAGGAUAGGUGGGAGGCUUUGAAGUGUGGACGCCAGUCUGCAUGGAGCCGACCUUGAAAUACCACCCUUUAAUGUUUGAUGUUCUAACGUUGACCCGUAAUCCGGGUUGCGGACAGUGUCUGGUGGGUAGUUUGACUGGGGCGGUCUCCUCCUAAAGAGUAACGGAGGAGCACGAAGGUUGGCUAAUCCUGGUCGGACAUCAGGAGGUUAGUGCAAUGGCAUAAGCCAGCUUGACUGCGAGCGUGACGGCGCGAGCAGGUGCGAAAGCAGGUCAUAGUGAUCCGGUGGUUCUGAAUGGAAGGGCCAUCGCUCAACGGAUAAAAGGUACUCCGGGGAUAACAGGCUGAUACCGCCCAAGAGUUCAUAUCGACGGCGGUGUUUGGCACCUCGAUGUCGGCUCAUCACAUCCUGGGGCUGAAGUAGGUCCCAAGGGUAUGGCUGUUCGCCAUUUAAAGUGGUACGCGAGCUGGGUUUAGAACGUCGUGAGACAGUUCGGUCCCUAUCUGCCGUGGGCGCUGGAGAACUGAGGGGGGCUGCUCCUAGUACGAGAGGACCGGAGUGGACGCAUCACUGGUGUUCGGGUUGUCAUGCCAAUGGCACUGCCCGGUAGCUAAAUGCGGAAGAGAUAAGUGCUGAAAGCAUCUAAGCACGAAACUUGCCCCGAGAUGAGUUCUCCCUGACUCCUUGAGAGUCCUGAAGGAACGUUGAAGACGACGACGUUGAUAGGCCGGGUGUGUAAGCGCAGCGAUGCGUUGAGCUAACCGGUACUAAUGAACCGUGAGGCUUAACCUUACAACGCCGAAG
rnacentral:rRNA from 1 species